rnacentral:rRNA from 1 species
UACGUAGGCACCAAGCGUUGUCCGGAUUUAUUGGGCGUAAAGAGCUCGUAGGCGGUUCAGUAAGUCGGGUGUGAAAACUCUGGGCUCAACCCAGAGACGCCACCCGAUACUGCUGUGACUUGAGUACGGUAGGGGAGUGGGGAAUUCCUGGUGUAGCGGUGAAAUGCGCAGAUAUCAGGAGGAACACCAGUGGCGAAGGCGCCACUCUGGGCCGUAACUGACGCUGAGGAGCGAAAGCGUGGGUAGCAAACAGG